UGUUGCUAUUGGGUUCGGUUUGGCUUUGAGAGAGGUUGACAUAUUUGUUAUACCUAACAUUUAGCCAGAAGUCAGGAAUUCAACCAGCAAUUAAAUAAUGGUUCCCAUGGUGAAGCAGUUUCACCUCUGUAUUGAUUUGCUUUAUGACCUGUUUUCUAGGCACUUACUUUGACAUCACCACUGCCCCCACAAAAAAAAAAAAAAAAAAAAAGGUGAGAACUGACUAUAUCACGGGUACCUAGACCAUGUGGAGAAAGGACUGAGACUGGAAGCAGAAAACAGACAUUGUCUGCACAGAACAAAGUACCAGACAACAGCUCACUCUAGUAAAGGGCUAUAAAUGCCAUAUGAGAAGGUCUUCUCAGUUCAAAACUUGUCGAAUCUCAAGCUUGUGCCUAUAGGAAAAUCCCUACACUUGUGUCAGUUAUAAAGUUACAUCUGACUUACAUGCCUGGUCUGGUGACUUCUACUAUCUUUUCAUGACUCCUAAAUUAUAGAGGUCCAAUAGAAGGCCUAACAAUUCAUGACAAAGCUGUUCUGGGACAAAGCUGGUGA